rnacentral:rRNA from 1 species
CAGCAGCCGCGGUAAUACGUAGGGAGCAAGCGUUGUUCGGAAUUAUUGGGCGUAAAGAGCGCGUAGGCGGUUCGGUAAGUCUGACGUGAAAUCCCAGAGCUUAACUCUGGAACUGCGUUGGAUACUGCCGAGCUUGAGUGUGGGAGAGGAGAGUGGAAUUCCCAGUGUAGAGGUGAAAUUCGUAGAUAUUGGGAGGAACACCCGUGGCGAAGGCGGCUCUCUGGACCACAACUGACGCUGAGGCGCGAAAGCUAGGGUAGCAAACGGGAUUAGAUACCCCGGUAGUCCUAGCCGUAAACGAUGGGCACUAGGUGUUGGAGGUAUCGACCCCUCCAGUGCCGCAGCUAACGCAUUAAGUGCCCCGCCUGGGGAGUACGGUCGCAAGACUAAAACUCAAAGGAAUUGACGG